rnacentral:tRNA from 1 species
ACUUUUAAAGGAUAACAGCUAAU